rnacentral:pre_miRNA from 1 species
CAACUCCUUCGCCCAUUUUGGCACUAGCACAUUUUUGUUUCGUUUCUGGCUGUCAGCAAUCGUGUGCAGUGCCAAUCUAGGACAAGAGAGGCGCU